AAUUAUUAUUAGAUUUUUAAAUAAUUAUUCACGAAAUAAAUUGAGCUAAAUUUUUGGUAUUUUUGGAAAUUAUAACUAUAUGUUACAAAAUAUAUUAACUAAAUAGAUUUAGGGGUGAAAGGCCUAUCAAAUUUUAUGAUAUCUUGAAGUAUAUAAAAUAUAUCAAGUAUUUCUAAUUCAACUAUUGAAUGUUUAGGUUCAAUAGUAACAUUAUAUUUUUUAAAAAAUUGUUCAAUUUUUUUAAGUAAAAUUGAGUUAGAGCAUAAAAUAUACAUCAAAUUUUUAUUAUAUGAAUAUAAAUAUACUACGGUUAUUAAUAAAUAUAAUCAUAUAUAAUGUAAUUAUUAGUAAUAGUUUAUUAAACUAUAUAAAGGAAUUCGGCAAGAAAAUUUUUCACCUGUUUAUCAAAAACAUAGCUUAUUGAAUAUCAUAAUAAGUAACCCCUGCUCAAUGGAAAUCUAAAUAGCCGCAGUACCUUGACUGUGCAAAGGUAGCAUAAUCAAUUGGCUUAUAAUUGAAGUCUGGAAUGAAUGGGUAAUCUGGAAAAUAACUGUCUUUAUUUGUAGUAUUUUGAAUUUACUUAUAAAGUGAAAAUACUUUAAUAUAAAUAUAAGACGAGAAGACCCUAGAAAUUUUUUGUUAAUAACUUUUGUUGGGGCGACAGGGUAACAUAUAAACUUACUUACAUUUAUAUAAAUCUUAUAAGGUACGUAACUAAAUUACUCUAGGGAUAACAGCAUAAUAUAUAAGAGUUUAUGACCUCGAUGUUGGACUAGGUAAUUAAAUAUUUAAAAGAUAUCUUAAUUUGCUCUGUUCGAGCAGUAUCACCUACAU
rnacentral:rRNA from 1 species